rnacentral:rRNA from 1 species
GCUAGUAAUCGCGAAUCAGAAUGUCGCGGUGAAUACGUUCCCGGGUCUUGUACACACCGCCCGUCACACCAUGGGAGUCGGGAAUGCCCGAAGUCAGUGACCCAACCUUUGGAGGGAGCUGCCGAAGGCAGGUCUGAUAACUGGGGUGAAGUCGUAACAAGGUAAC